GAUGAACGCUGGCGGCGUGCUUAACACAUGCAAGUCGAACGAUGAAGCCCAGCUUGCUGGGUGGAUUAGUGGCGAACGGGUGAGUAACACGUGAGUAACCUGCCCUUGACUCUGGGAUAAGCCUGGGAAACUGGGUCUAAUACUGGAUAUGACUUCUCACCGCAUGGUGGGGGGUGGAAAGAUUUAUUGGUCUUGGAUGGACUCGCGGCCUAUCAGCUUGUUGGUGAGGUAAUGGCUCACCAAGGCGACGACGGGUAGCCGGCCUGAGAGGGUGACCGGCCACACUGGGACUGAGACACGGCCCAGACUCCUACGGGAGGCAGCAGUGGGGAAUAUUGCACAAUGGGCGCAAGCCUGAUGCAGCGACGCCGCGUGAGGGAUGACGGCCUUCGGGUUGUAAACCUCUUUCAGUAGGGAAGAAGCGAAAGUGACGGUACCUGCAGAAGAAGCGCCGGCUAACUACGUGC
rnacentral:rRNA from 1 species